GUUUUAGGCAAAGGUGGAAAGUCUACAAAGAGAUUUCUAACACAGGCUCACUGCUAGACUGACCUCCAGGAUCCCCUCAACAUUAAACACUAGGAUCUAUAAUUCUAUAACCAGAAGCCAACAUUAGCAAUCAAUCAGGUUUAAAAUCCAGCAGUCCUGAAAACCAUUCUAAAUGAUAGCUUCAUCAGAAAGAUGUGACUGCCAUUGGGAACUAGACAAAAGCAAGUUCUCAAGUCCUGAAGAGAGAUAAAGCAAUGUAUUUGCUAUGGAUGCUUUCAGUUUCCCUUAGGAAAGAAUAACUACUCUAAGCUACCCCUUUCUGGAUUCCUUGAUAGCUAACUAGAGGGAUUCUCCUGUUGGCUAUUAACAACCAACAUCCCUGUUAUGGAGAAGACCACCUGGCACGGGACAGCAUAUGGAUUCUAGGAGCUGAGAACAGCCCUGAGUUAACAGCUAGGAGGAAAGCAGAACCUGAGUCCUACAGAUUUAAGGAAGCAAAUCCUUCCAGUGACCUACAUAAACCUUUAAGAAAAUGUUUUGCUGCAGAUGAGAGUCCCAGAAUGGAGGACACUUUGAUGUUAGCCUUUCUGCUCUCUGAGCAGAGAAUCCUGUUGAGUCACUUGCAGACUUCUGACCCACAGAAACUCUAAUAACAGUAGAUGUUCUAAGCUGCUAAUUUUGCUACUAUCACUAAAAUCCAGUAAUAUGUAACACAUUGCAAGUAAACUUCUAAUUCUUCUCUCUUAAAUAUUAUCUGCUCUUCCCCAUUUUCCUCAAGAAAUGGUGACUCCGUAUUCCAGUGUAAUGAGGUUAAAAAAUUGUAUUCAUCUUUGAUUUUACUCAAUAUUUCAUAUCUUAUAAAGUUCAUCUCUAAAUCCUGUUGGCUGUAUCUUUAAAAUAUAUUCAUAAUGCCAACAUUCCUACUUUGUUGACCAACACUUGCAUUAGUGUUACCACUUGCGUUAAUGCUACCCUCAUGCCUUCUUUGAGUUAUUUCAAAAACUUCCAAAGUGGUUUGCCUGCUUUCAUACAUACUUACCCACAGAAAUCUAUUCCUCACAGAAGUAGUCACAGUAAUAUGCAUAAAAUGUAAAUUGAGAAACAUCUCUGUUAAAAACCUCGCAGUGGAUUCCAGUAUCAGAAAACAAACAAACAAACAAACAAAACAAACAAAA